UGCAAACUAACGAAUAAGAGGUCACGCCUGCCCAGUGACUCUAAGUUUAACGGCCGCGGUAUUUUGACCGUGCAAAGGUAGCGCAAUCACUUGUCUUUUAAAUGGAGACCUGUAUGAAUGGCAUCACGAGGGCUUAACUGUCUCCUUUCUUAGGCCAAUGAAAUUGAUCUCCCCGUGCAGAAGCGGGGAUAACAACAUAAGACGAGAAGACCCUAUGGAGCUUUAGACACUAAGACAGUUUACGUCAAAUCUCCCUGCAUAAAGAACUGAACUAAAUAAGUCCUGUCCUAAUGUCUUUGGUUGGGGCGACCCCGGGGAGAUAAAGAACCCCCAUGUGGAACGGAAAUAUAUUUCCAAAACCAAGAGCCACCGCUCUAAGAAGCAGAACUUCUGACCAAUCUAGAUCCGGCAAAGCCGAUCAACGGACCGAGUUACCCUAGGGAUAACAGCGCAAUCCCCUUCUAGAGUCCCUAUCGACAAGGGGGUUUACGACCUCGAUGUUGGAUCAGGACAUCCUAAUGGUGCAGCCGCUAUUAAGGGUUCGUUUGUUCAACGAUUAAAGUCCUACGUGAUCUUGAGUUCAGACCGGA
rnacentral:rRNA from 1 species